AGUGAACGCUGGCGGUAGGCCUAACACGUGCAAGUCGAACGGCAGCACAGUAAGAGCUUGCUCUUACGGGUGGCGAGUGGCGGACGGGUGAGGAAUACAUCGGAAUCUACUUUUUCGUGGGGGACAACGUAGGGAAACUUACGCUAAUACCGCAUACGACCUACGGGUGAAAGCAGGGGAUCUUCGGACCUUGCGCGAUUGAAUGAGCCGAUGUCGGAUUAGCUAGUUGGCGGGGUAAAGGCCCACCAAGGCGACGAUCCGUAGCUGGUCUGAGAGGAUGAUCAGCCACACUGGAACUGAGACACGGUCCAGACUCCUACGGGAGGCAGCAGUGGGGAAUAUUGGACAAUGGGCGCAAGCCUGAUCCAGCCAUACCGCGUGGGUGAAGAAGGCCUUCGGGUUGUAAAGCCCUUUUGUUGGGAAAGAAAAGCAGCAGGUUAAUACCCCGCUGUUCUGACGGUACCCAAAGAAUAAGCACCGGCUAACUUCGUG
rnacentral:rRNA from 1 species